AACGAACGCUGGCGGCAUGCCUAACACAUGCAAGUCGAACGAAGCCCUCGGGCUUAGUGGCGCACGGGUGCGUAACGCGUGGGAAUCUGCCCUUUGGAUCGGCAUAACAGUUGGAAACGACUGCUAAUACCGGAUGAUGACGAAAGUCCAAAGAUUUAUCGCCAGAGGAUGAGCCCGCGUAGGAUUAGCUAGUUGGUGUGGUAAAGGCGCACCAAGGCGACGAUCCUUAGCUGGUCUGAGAGGAUGAUCAGCCACACUGGGACUGAGACACGGCCCAGACUCCUACGGGAGGCAGCAGUGGGGAAUAUUGGACAAUGGGCGAAAGCCUGAUCCAGCAAUGCCGCGUGAGUGAUGAAGGCCCUAGGGUUGUAAAGCUCUUUUACCCGGGAUGAUAAUGACAGUACCGGGAGAAUAAGCCCCGGCUAACUCCGUGCCAGCCGCCGCCGUAA
rnacentral:rRNA from 1 species